rnacentral:lncRNA from 1 species
UGAGAGGAGGACAAAGGAAACAGCAGGGAAGGGUUGCUGACGCCACGGAGCCACAGCAACGCACGCUUUGCAAAGGACACGCACUGCACAUCCAGGUUACGCAAGGUCGACCACGCACCCCUCACAGUCCCACAGCUGCACCCACGUCACACAGGCACGCCCGGCCCUGUCGCCGCUGCGCGGUCUCUCACACUCCCCACCUGUCUCCCAAAGAUGAGCCCCCACCUCGGCAGCUCCAGCACCCCCGGGCCUGAGGAGGCGGGAGAGAGCCCGGCCCGCGCCUGGGGCCUCCGCGCUCUGAACGCCUCCAGCAGCCCCACUCUCACAGCCCUGUAGGGUGCCACGUGGGCUGCGGGCUGGGGCUGUAGGGGCUCCCGCAGCGACCCACGCCGCCCUCUUGCUCAGGUGACUGCAGGUCACGCGCAGCGCGGAGCCAAAGGACCAAGUUUUCUCCGUCGUCAGUGGGAAACGUAGUCCACGACGGAAUAUCCAGACCCGCAGUCCCUGUCGGGAAAUGAAGUCUAGGGGCGUUAAAACCUCUGAGAAAAGCCGUGGUGACCACGGCGACCGCCCGCCACGCCCACCGCCGAGUCCCGGAGGCUUCGGGGAGUUGCAGCCUGGGCUAGGAGUGCGCAUGCGCAGAGCGGCCAACCCGUGAGGGAACGUUUCUGACGCUAGGUCAAGGGCGGUGUUCCUGUGUUCUUAGGGCCCCAGGAGGCGAGUCUGAGUGGAACCUGGCUGGGGUAGGCUGAAAGGUGACUUCGACGCUCUUCUGAGGCCUCAGACGUGUGUGAUGACUGCCCUGUAGAAUCAGUGCUGUGACCCCGAGUAACAACGCGCGCUUGAGUUGGUAUAAACUCCUGAAGAGUGUAGUCCUGCAAUUUACAAGAAAAAGUUAAGUGUAAAAUAGCCUCAGGCAUGUCCUUCAGGAGGGAUUCCAGAGGCAUUGUUAUAGACGAUGACAGCUCUGUGUGUGUUAUUGCCACUGAAGACCUUCCAUGGGACGCGAUGUGGAGCUGGAAGUCAGUGAUAUUGAUGAUCCUGACACAGUCCUAGGAUAAGGCCCAUGCUAUAUGAGCUUGACUUCUGGAAGGCUGGAGACUGAGUAAAUUCAGGAGUUAAGUUCAGUCACCCAGGCACCAUGGACACCAGCAUUCAGACGAGAUUACCUGUUUGGCACUACUUUGCACAUGCUGGCACACACCAUGGUGGGAAGAAUUAAGUGCUGUUGCCAUGCAAUUCUAAUGGAAGGGGAAAACUGGAAGCUUGUGCCUCGUCUCUCCUGGACUUUGUCCAGUGCCUUCUCCCAUUGUUCAUUGUUGCCUGCAUCCUUCGCCUUGAGUUUGAGUAUGGCAGCUCUUCUGGAUCCCAGGAGUCCUUCCAGCAAAUCAUUGAGCCUGAGUGGUCCUGGAGACCAGUGGCACACCUUUGUUCAAGAUAAUGGUUCACUUCUCAAUCAAUAAAAAUGUACUUGUAGACGCAUUCAUUGCUUUUCACUGGUGGGAACAAAACUGUUUGAAACGGUACUAUUUUGUUUACUAAUCACUAGGCUCUAAUUCUUCUGUUGUAUUAACUGUUGCUUUGUAUUGGCUUAGGGUUUAUCAAGUUUAUCAACGCCAGCUCAUUAACAGGUAUUGAAUGGGUUCUGGGGAUAGAGUGGUGAACACAAAUUCUGGCCUUUACUCUUCGUUUCCUGUGUGCAUUGAAGGGUAUUAAAUUCCCAAAAAGGUCUGGCAAUAUCCCCAUGUUCUAAUAUACAGGCCUUUAAUUAUUAUUACUUUCUGAAGAGGCCCUGAUUUCCAUUUUUAAUUCCAUAUUUAAUUAAGGAUUUAAUUAAUUAUAGAUUUCUAAAUUAUAGAUUUCUAAAGAUUUCUAAAAGGAUGUUGCUUUUAGAUUUCUAAAAGGAUUAUAGAUUUCUAAAAGGAUGUGACACAAUAUCCCUGAGAUUAAUAACUGUAAAAUGGCUCUUUAUAAUGGGGCUCUAUUCUGGAGAGAUCAAGCAAUCACCACUAUAACCAAGUGAUGACACUUAGCAUCCUUAGUCCUGGAAAAAAUCAAACAUUAUACGCUUUUUAGUGUGCACAUCAUCUGUGACAUAUUCUUGCUGAAAAUUCUUAAUCAUAACCUAGUAAACCUCUUGGUUUAACUUCAAAUAUACUAGAACUAUGAGGACUAAGAUAAAGAAAAAUAAGACUUCACAAUGAAACAAUUUUUAAAAUCCACAGUUGGGUGUGAUGGCUCAUGCCUGUAAUCCACUUUGGGAGGCUGAGGUGGGAAGAUCCCCUGAGCCCAGUAGUUCCAGACCAGCAUGGGCAACAUAGAGAGACCCUGUCUCCACAAAAAAAUAAAGUUAACCAGGUAUGGUGGCACACACCUGUGGUCCCAGUUAUUUGGGAGGCUGAGGUGGGAGGAUUGCUUAAGUCCAGGAGGUCAAGGCUGCAGUUAGCUGUGAUUGCACCAUGGCGCUCCAUCCUGGGUGACAGAGCGAGACCCUGUCUCAAACGAAAAAACAAAACCACACACACACAAAACAACCCAGAAUGUUCAGCAUUCUAUUAGACAACUUUCCUGUGGUCUUCAAAAAGCCAAACUCAUGAAAAAAAAAAAACAGUAGAGAUAUUGUUCUAAAUGAGUUGGCAAAUGUUCUCUAGAAAGGUCAUGAUAUUAUAUACAGUAGGUUUUGUGACCAUUGCAAAUGGUCUCAUUGCAAUGACAUCUCUGACGUGGUAGUAAGAAGAAAACAUGUAAACAAGUGAAUGUGGUAGUGUUGCAAUAAAACUACAAAAUCCACUGGCAGGUUGCAAUUAGCCUGUAGGCCAUAGUUUUCCAGCCACUAUUCUAAAUUAAAAGUGAGUAACGCUUUAU